ACGAGGUUACAAAGUCGGUCGACUGUGCUGGCGGAAACGCACGUGCACGUCGGUCGCAAACAUCCACACACCUGUGAACUUUUGGCUUUGGGCUUGGUUGGGUUGACGCCCCCUCGCCCGGGCAAAUUUUUUUUACACUGUUAUUGUAAAGGAAUGUGACCACGCUUAUGCGUAAACUAUAAA
rnacentral:misc_RNA from 1 species